rnacentral:tRNA from 1 species
UUAAUUGAAGCCAAAAAGAGGCCUUUCAUUGUUAAUGAAAAAAUUGAUUUACAAUCCAAUUAAA